GAGAGUUUGAUUAUGYGCUCAGGAUGAACGCUGGCGGCGUGCCUAAUACAUGCAAGUCGAACGAAGAUCUUAGGGAAUAAGCUUGCUUAGGAAUUUUGAUCUUAGUGGCGGACUGGUGAGUAACACGUGAGCAACCUGGCUUUCAGAGGGGGACAACGGUUGGAAACGACCGCUAAUACCGCAUGACAUAGUUUUAAGGCAUCUUGAAACUAUCAAAGGAGCAAUCCGCUGAAAGAUGGGCUCGCGUCUGAUUAGAUAGUUGGUGAGGUAACGGCUCACCAAGUCGACGAUCAGUAGCCGGACUGAGAGGUUGAACGGCCACAUUGGGACUGAGAUACGGCCCAGACUCCUACGGGAGGCAGCAGUAGGGAAUAUUGCACAAUGGAGGAAACUCUGAUGCAGCAACGCCGCGUGAAGGAAGACGGUUUUCGGAUUGUAAACUUCUUUUCCCAAAGAAGAAAAAAAUGACGGUAUUUGGGGAAUAAGCAUCGGCUAACUACGUGCCAGCAGCCGCGGUAAUACGUAGGAUGCAAGCGUUAUCCGGAUUUACUGGGUGUAAAGGGUGCGUAGGCGGACUUUCAAGUUGGAUGUGAAAACCCGGGGCUUAACCCCGUGAUUGCAUCCAAAACUGUAGGUCUUGAUUGGAGUAGAGGUAAGUGGAAUUCCGAGUGUAGCGGUGAAAUGCGCAGAUAUUCGGAAGAACACCGGUGGCGAAGGCGACUUACUGGGCUCUAAAUGACGCUGAGGCACGAAAGGGGGGGGGAGCAAACAGGAUUAGAUACCUGGUAGUCCACACUGUAAACGAUGAUAGCUAGGUGUAGGGGGUCUGACCCCCUCUGUGCCGGAGUUAACGCAAUAAGCUAUCCACCUGGGGAGUACGAUCGCAAGAUUGAAACUCAAAGGAAUUGACGGGGACCCGCACAAGCAGUGGAUUAUGUGGUUUAAUUCGAAGCAACGCGAAGAACCUUACCGAGUCUUGACAUUUAACUAACGAAGCAGAGAUGCAUUAGGUGCCCUUCGGGGAAAGUUAAAACAGGUGGUGCAUGGUUGUCGUCAGCUCGUGCCGUGAGGUGUUGGCUUAAGUGCCGCAACGAGCGCAACCCCUGCCAUUAGUUGCUACGCAAGAGCACUCUAAUGGGACCGCCGAUGACAAAUCGGAGGAAGGUGGGGAUGACGUCAAAUCAUCAUGCCCCUUAUGACUCGGGCCACACACGUAAUACAAUGGUCGUUAACAGAGGGAAGCAAGGGAGCGAUCCGGAGCCAAACCCUAAAAACGAUCUCAGUUCGGACUGUAGGCUGAAACUCGCCUGCACGAAGUUGGAAUUGCUAGUAAUCGCGGAUCAGCAUGCCGCGGUGAAUACGUUCCCGGGUCUUGUACACACCGCCCGUCACACCAUGGGAGUUUGUAACACCCGAAGUCGGUGACCCAACAGUAAUGAGGGAGCCGCCGAAGGUGGGAUAAGCGACUGGGGUGAAGUCGUAACAAGGCAGCCGUAGGAGAACCUGCGGCUGGAACACCUCCUU
rnacentral:rRNA from 1 species